UUCUUUUUCUCAAGCUUUCUCUCCCUCACCUCAACACAAAAGGCAACUCCAUAAGCCUUUGUCUUCCUUAAUUUGCGCAAGCAGCAGCUGUCGUCCAGUCUUCUUCUAUUUGGUAGGCACAGGUUUAUCUUCAUUUCUGCUUCAUAUUUGUUCUUCAUCUUUCUCAGGCACAGAGCUUCGUUUUUCGAUUUUACAUUGUCCUUCUCAGUGGACGAUGAAAAUCAAUUGCGUAUGACAUAAGUGGAUACUUUGAGUCAGCACUGUAAAGCCUUCUCAUUAGAGCUUUGAAUUGCGCAUGGUCAAGGCCAAAGUUGAAGUGCGAGUGAAAGAAAGUAGAGUCAAAGAGAACGAAAGUACAAAGGCAAAGGCUAAGACAGAGUAACCCAGUUAUGACAAAACACUAAGUAAUUAUGUUUCAAUAAUCUUGUCUGCUUCCAGAUUCCA